rnacentral:rRNA from 1 species
UUAAAAAGCUCGUAGUUGAAUUUCGGGAUCAAUACGUCGGUCGUGCUUAGGUACGUACUGGCGUAAUUGAUUUCUCCCUUCUGACGAACCAUGAUGUCAUUAACUUGGUGUCAUGGGAAAUCAGGACUGUUACUUUGAAAAAAUUAGAGUGUUUAAAGCAGGCUCACGCUUGAAUACAUUAGCAUGGAAUAAUGAAAUAGGACGUUCGAUCCUAUUUUGUUGGUUUUUAGGAUCAACGUAAUGAUUAAUAGGGAUAGUUGGGGG